GGCGACCGGCGCACGGGUGAGUAACACGUAUCCAACCUGCCGAUGACUCGGGGAUAGCCUUUCGAAAGAAAGAUUAAUACCCGAUGGCAUAGUUCUUCCGCAUGGUAGAACUAUUAAAGAAUUUCGGUCAUCGAUGGGGAUGCGUUCCAUUAGGUUGNUGGCGGGGUAACGGCCCACCAAGCCUUCGAUGGAUAGGGGUUCUGAGAGGAAGGUCCCCCACAUUGGAACUGAGACACGGUCCAAACUCCUACGGGAGGCAGCAGUGAGGAAUAUUGGUCAAUGGACGAGAGUCUGAACCAGCCAAGUAGCGUGAAGGAUGACUGCCCUAUGGGUUGUAAACUUCUUUUAUACGGGAAUAAAGUGAGGCACGUGUGCCUUUUUGUAUGUACCGUAUGAAUAAGGAUCGGCUAACUCCGUGCCAGCAGCCGCGGUAAUACGGAGGAUCCGAGCGUUAUCCGGAUUUAUUGGGUUUAAAGGGAGCGUAGGCGGACGCUUAAGUCAGUUGUGAAAGUUUGCGGCUCAACCGUAAAAUUGCAGUUGAUACUGGGUGUCUUGAGUACAGUAGAGGCAGGCGGAAUUCGUGGUGUAGCGGUGAAAUGCUUAGAUAUCACGAAGAACUCCGAUUGCGAAGGCAGCCUGCUGGACUGUAACUGACGCUGAUGCUCGAAAGUGUGGGUAUCAAACAGGAUUAGAUACCCUGGUAGUCCACACAGUAAACGAUGAAUACUCGCUGUUUGCGAUAUACA
rnacentral:rRNA from 1 species